rnacentral:sRNA from 1 species
UCAUUAGUAAGGGUCCUUUGACGACGAA